CAAUACGUUAUUAGACGGUAUUAAUUAUUAUGCCGCCUCGGACGUGUGGAAGCUGAGCACGACACAGCUGCCCUGUCGCAAACCGAGCCGACAACUGCACGCGCGCAAACGCUCGCUUGUACCGUAGUGCGUGCUUUUGAACGUGUGCGCGAGGAAGCUGGCGGACACCAGAAUAGGAGGGGCACGAGAUUUAAAAUUCGCCGGUGCGCUUUAGCCGAGAAACAUUAGCUUUUAGCUCGCGGACUCUCCGCAGCGACCCAUCAAACCCUCACCGCACCGACCGGCCCUUCCACUUCACCAGCAGAUGAUGACCAGCCUCCCUGUAAGAAGAAAAGGUGCAGCGCUGGACCUACUGUUUGGAGAGACCUUCGAAGUGAAAGCAGCAACAAGAUCUUCAAACGAGAAGGCGGCCAGUGAUGAAGUUAUGAGGUACAGACAGCGUAAUACAUUGCCCCUCAAGGACAACCCACUGCAAUGGUGGAAGGGACAAUCAGACCUCCCACUGCUGUCAUCUCUUGCGAAAAAAUAUCUCUGCAUACCAGCAACCAGCGUAGCAUCAGAAAGAGUUUUUAGCACAGCAGGGGAUGUCGUUUCAGUUCAACGCAGUGUUCUCAGGCAUGAUCAUGUCGAUCAGCUGAUUUUCCUCAAAAAGAAUCUUGACAAGUAUGAAUAAAUUCUGAGUUGUGAGAUGUAAACAGAAGUCAUAAGCACACACACACACACACAUACCAACUCAGGCAGACACACUAUACUUUUGCUGUAAAGCAUUGAUGAUUUCAGACAGAAAAAAAUGUUAUGAGAUGGAGAGAAAGUAAUAGUUUUUGUUUAGUGUUUGGAGCUUUUUCUUUUUUUUGGUAAGAAAAGCUAAUUACAGACAUAAGAAAGACAUGUUGCAUACUGAAGUCUAUGUCUAGCAAUGAUAUGUUGCACUUGUUUUACAGUUACUGAAACUCACGAGUGACUGAAGCAGUAAUCAUUCUGAUUAUUGCCUUUAAUAGGCAACUUGCUAUAGGCUACUUUUAUUUUUGAUAUCUAACCUUAUUUUGUGGUCUUUGAGGGAAAGUCAGCAUGUAUUGUAUUUUAAGUAUGAGCAGAGUUUGAAAACCUGUUAAGUGAGGCGCACCGGAUUUCCAGUUUUGUGUUUUGUAAUGUAUCCCAGCAUUACUAAUGUAAUGUAUGUAAAGUAUAAAUAAACAAAAGGAUACGGUUUUGAAAUU